rnacentral:misc_RNA from 1 species
UGCUGAUCUGAAUGUCUUUUCUUCUGAACCUUUUGCUUUUGAUGCAGGUAUGCUUUGUUUCGAUUUUGAAACAUAUUGGAAUGGUCUGGCACAUGUGUAGCCACAAUUGCUAAUUGUGCUGAUUGAAAGUUGUUAAAGCUGGGCCUUUUGCGUUUUGACAGCAAAAUCACUGUUGGGUACUGAAAAAAAAAAGGAGUUUUUAAACUGUACAAUCAUUUUAGACUACAAGUGC